rnacentral:misc_RNA from 1 species
UCUCCGUUGGUGAACCAGCGGAGGGAUCAUUGCUGGAAGCGUCUCACGGCGCACCCAGAUACCCUUUGUGAAUCGUACUCGUUGCUUCGGGGGCGACCCUGCCGUCCGCGGCUGAGCGCCCCCGGGGUCAAUCAAACACUGCAUUCUCUGCGUCGGAGUAUUAGUAAAUCUAAUCAAAACUUUCAACAACGGAUCUCUUGGUUCUGGCAUCGAUGAAGAACGCAGC